rnacentral:rRNA from 1 species
GAUGAACGCUGGCGGCGUGCUUAACACAUGCAAGUCGAACGGUGAAGCAGAGCUUGCUCUGUGGAUCAGUGGCGAACGGGUGAGUAACACGUGAGCAACCUGCCCCUGACUCUGGGAUAAGCGCUGGAAACGGCGUCUAAUACUGGAUAUGAGCUGCGACCGCAGGGUCAGCAGUUGGAAAGAUUUUUCUUUCUGGGAUGGGCUCACGGCCUGUCAGCUUGUUGGUGAGGUAAUGGAUCACCAAGGCGUCGCCGGGUAGCCGGCCUGAGAAGGUGACCGGCCACACUGGGACUGAGACACGCCCCAGAGUCCUACGGGGGGCAGCAGUGGGGAAUAUUGCACAAUGGGCGAAAGCCUGAUGCAGAAACGCCGCGUGAGGGAUGACGGCCUUCGGGUUGUAAACCUCUUUUAGCAGGGAAGCAGCGAUAGUGACGGUACCUGCAGAAAAAGCGCCGGCUAACUACGUG